AUCGCUUCUCGGCCUUUUGGCUAAGAUCAAGUGUAGUAUCUGUAGUACCCCCUUUGGACGCCUUGACUUUUCUAGAACCUUUAUUCAAAAAUUUCUUCAAUUCAAACCUGAAGACCUGAACUGCAUUUUGACCCUACCGUCCAACAAGGGUUUUGAUGUAAGCUUU
rnacentral:snRNA from 1 species